CCCAACAGUCGCCGCAGCGAUCAUGGCAACUUCUUGCAAUUACGGUCGUACCAACCGUAUCCCACAUUGGACCCCCUCCGAUCUAACCCUGGGAACGAGGCUUAGACGGAAGUGAGCACAGUCUCGAACAACUGCGGGGGGGGGGGACCCCCCCCGGACCCCCCCCGCGCGUGUAAAAUGUACUGACCUAACCUAACCUAACCUCACUACAGAAUUUGCACAUUACAGCGCAAUUUAUUACUAGCGACGCGCGACUUCCGGUUAGCCUUGUUCCCAGGAGGGGGGUCCGAUAUGGGAAUUUUGCAAUUUCGCUAUAUUUAUACAGGUUUCGUCGUGAGGGCUACCCAGUGAAUAAUCUGUGUAGUGUGAUACGGCUGGGUGUACAGGUAAGUAUCACGUUCCUCAUCCACUGGUUUCUACUUUACAGGAAGGAACAACCUCAGUGCACACACUGUGGUUAGCCUCUCUCAGUUUUGCAUAUUUGCUUACAUGUUCACAUUAGAAACACACCUUACACUUUAGGCUCCUUCACCCAGCAAUAUAAUAAUUAGAGAUUAUAAUUAUUUUUAGAAGCGUUACCCAUAUUCUUUUUAGAAUAGUUUUUCAUCUUUCUAAUUUUUAGAAGAUACAGGGAUUGUAAGCCAUGUUUUAAACUGAUGUUUUAACAUUUGUCCAAUGCAUUUAUUAAGCAACGUAUUCAUUUUUAACUGGUUGCACCCAAACCAAUGUUUUGAUGUAUUAUUUCCUUUGUUGUCGAUGCACCAUAAAAAUUGGAAUAAUCAUCAUCAAUGCAGGUUACUUCACAGCUGCCUCGACAUACUCAAGAAAUGGGUGCACAACCUGCGUAAUGCCCACAAACUUUGAUUACCACAGUAUCUCCAGAAAGUAUGUGUCACAUGGGAUUUUUAAAUGUAUUCACAGUAUAUAAUACCUUGUAUUAACUGUUGUAGAUCUAAGCCGUCUCUACAGUACACUCUCAGAAAUUAAAACCGUGAGAACCGUGAUAAUUGUUUCAGUUAAUAGGGCAUGCACAUAUAUGCUAUAAGAAGAAAAUUAUUUCUUGAGAAUGCACUUCUCUGGCUACUGGUGUUGUUUACAUCUACUGUUGAUCACAUUCAUUUAUCACAUAUUAUAUUCUUAUAUAUAUUAUUAUAUUAACACAUAUUUGAUCACAUUAAAUUCAAAAUUCAUCAUAUAUAAGAAAAUACCAGGAGGGAAGUUGCUAUUCAUUACUCAUUCUAACCUAAAAUUGAGUGCUACAAAUUUAGAGAGAGUACCUGUCCAUUGUCAUUCCUAAAAUAUAUAUUGUCAUUGUAGCAAGGUCAUAAAACAAUAAAUGUAGUCUUUUGCAGUGAUGGCCAGUAGUUAACUACAUGUAGUUAAACUACUAGUUAAACUACCAGAUUGUAGUUAAAAAGUAGUUAUCAACUACUUGCAGAAAUGUAGUGGCAACUACUAGUUAAACUACUAUUUCAAGUAGUUAACUACAGUAGUUAGGUUACUAAAGGCGCAAACUAUACUUCCGAUUUUGCCGCAAGCUUUAAUGCACGAUUGUGGUUCCGACUUUUACCUUGAGUUACUUGUUUGAUGAGAACGAAAGGUGCAGAGCAAUGUGUCGUGCGUGUGUACUAAAUCGUCACUUUUAAUGCUUGUCCAGCAGUGUUGCGGAUUUAACGAGUCAAAUCCAAUUUAAAUCAAAUCCACGUUUUUCGGAACACCGCAAAUCAAAUUCAAAUCAAGGCCGGAUUUAAACUUGAGGCGACAAAUCAAAUCAUUUUAAAUCCGGAUUUCUUUUGGUGUGCUAAAUCAAAUCCGGUUUUAAAUCAGGAUUCAUCAAAUCCGUCAACGAAUCCGGGGGCUAAAGUUCCCGAAAUAACUGUAGCAUGCAGCUGACCAUGUCUACAAGGUCGUACGAUUACUGCAUGCAUUCGCUGGAUAAGACCGUGACAUGGUAUAAACACCUAUAAAUCUCACCUGCAGCGAAGAGUAUGAACAGCCAACAUAGCGAUGCCAACGUCGACACCGACAUUUUAUUUUCACGUGGACAUCGGAGUAACACAUUUGUCAAAUACGCUUACUCGGCACAUAUGAUAAAGCCAACUGCCGGGAAUUAUGUUGUGUUAAAUGUGACGGCUACGUGCUGCACACCGCAAUUGUGUUACAACAAACUCAAUAGUACAUCCGCCCAACACGCUUAAGCAGUCUUAUUCUCUCAGGUUCUUGUUUAGAAACACCAGCUGCUCCAAUGUAGCUGGCUGCAGCUUGUUUCUUUUCGCGGUCUUGAUCAGGCUGGCUGCAGAGAGCACUCAUUCAACUGCUCCAGAACUUGCAGGUACUGCAAAUACAUGUUUCGCUACUUCCGAAAGCAGCGGGUAGCGGGCCACUGCGGACAUCCAAUAGCAGAGGGGGGAAACAACAUCAUCCUUUACUGUGCACUCGCUUAAAUAGAGGACUAUUCCGUCGUUCGUUCCUGCGGUACGAGUUCUGCGGUGGCACCAAGCUGACUAUAAGCAAGCCACUAUGAAAAAGGGCAACCAACAUUCACAUUCCUCUUCCUGGACACAAUGACCUCAUACGACUGGUUCUCAUGUGGACAUUUCGGGACUUCUUUUAGCAAUCUCUGGGACACCAGAACGCGACAUCAGUCGCAGUUCCGAGAACAAAUAAAACAGACAAAAUACGUGUAUGGUAGUCCUUUUCUCGAACGUACAUUGCCUGAGCUCAGUGCACCAGUGGUGUGCUUUCUCCAAUGCGUUCCAUUUCUAAGAAAUUAUAGAAAGCUGUGAUACCGUUGUGAAUUAGGCAUCGAACUACCCAUGUGAUUAUGUGUGAGAGUAUUGCAUGACGUAGCUUUAGUGCUCGGAAGGGAAGAUGGCUAUACGCCUUCGAGGUGGUCUGUCUGACCAGACAAACCAGCUCUUAAACUUGAAGCAGUCUACAACCAGUGUCCGUAAACGCAAUAAAAAAAUCAUGGGAUUUCUUUUUAAACGAAACAUAACUUUUGGCGGGACAUUGGGAACCAAGAUGGCGGGAUGCAAGGCAAGCCAUCUCAAAUCCAAACAUUUUUUAAACCUUCUCAUCAUUAAGAGUUGCAUUGCAUCAUGUGUAAACAUAUGUGAAAUGCAAUUCAGCCAAAUGUCUUGUAAAAACGUAAUUACAGAGACGGCCUCAGAUACGACUGACAAAGAAUCUGCCCGCCCGUCAACAUCAAAUUUCGCAGCAGUCAAAAUCCAACCAUUUUCCUUCAGGAGCUUGACCAAAUACACAUCCAAUUCCGUCGGAAAAAAAAACGUGAUUCAAUCCAAAUCCAAAUCAUCUGCCAAAAUUGUGAUUCAAUCCAAAUCCAAAUCAUCUGUCAAAAAUAUGAUUAAAUCCAAAUCCAAAUCGUUGCCAUAUUUUCCUCGUAAAUCAAAUCCCAAAUCAAAUCCACGAGCCCUUUGAUGGAUUUAAAUCAAAUCCCCGGAUUUAAAUCCGCAACACUGUUGUCCAGUGAAGCCUCAUUUGCUGUGAAAUAUUUAUGCAACUUAGUUUAUCACGUAGGCACAGAAAGAAUCCCGCCGCAAGCUUUGUAUUAGACGAUCGUAGCAGUGGCUUGAGCCAAAGUUUGUCAUUGCUUGUGAUUCAUAUUUAGGUGUCCAAGAACACUACAAGGGAUUGGUGUUGAUGGAUAAUGUUAAGUAGUUAUAGUUGUAGUUAAACUACAUUGCAGUAGUUAAAGAAGUAGUUUUAACUACUCCCCUGAAAAGUAGUUGAACUACUAGUUAAACUACUCCAUCACGAAGUAGUUAGUAGUUAUAGUUAAACUACUGUAGAAGUAGUUAGUGGCCAUCACUGGUCUUUUGUGACCUCCCUGCACGUUCAUUGUAUCCUGAAACGCAUAAGUGCAAGAAAUACAGUCGACCCCCGUUUAUCCGGACGGUGCCGUUCCCGGCGAAAUCGUCCGGAUACCGGGGCAUCCGGAUAAAUGAAACGACCGAAUAGAAACGUCCUACAGAGCAAGGUUUAAUUAAAACACAGAAAUCUCGUCAAUGACAGCUGUUACAUAGUGGUGUAGGCACUCGAUUCCUGCGAACUUUUUGCUAAUUGCAUAGAGUUGAGUCACGCUGUUGCGCUGCUCGAAGAAUGUCAGUGCAGUCAGGCAACAGCAGCAAUCACACCAUCAUCAGUCAUAGCUGCACACGCGUCAUCAUCCUUAUCAACGUCAACGUAGUCAGAAACCGCAGCAUCAUCAACGGCAGUCGCGGUGAGCCUCUGUAUUAGGGAUCGCAGCUCAGCUAGGGGAAUGUCUUCAUCGGCCAACGGGCCGUGAGCAGCAGGCCCUCGGGUUCGAGUUUUCCCCUCUAGAACCGGACAGUUGCUCGACAUAUUUCCAAAUGACUCGACUGGUCAACGUAACCUAACGCACACAAAUAGAAAAGGGGGUCAUCGUGCACGGUUGUCUCCCCUACGGAGGAAUGUAGGUCCCUGACGUGUGAUGGGAAUAACCCUAAAACAGGGAAAAGGGUGACGAAGCGGGGUCAGCGUCUCCUCUUACUCACGGUAGUCUGGAUAACUGAAGCUGGAUUACAAGAAUUUUCGACUUUCGUUCCCUGGAGUUCUUGUCCGAGUCCGGAAGCUGAAGUCCUGAUAAACGAGAACAAAAUACAUGGAGGAAAAUCCGUUCCCAUGCCUUUUGUCCGGAUGCCGCGGGAUCCGGAUAAAUGAAGUCCGGAUAAACGGGGGUCGACUGUAACUUGAAUAAACUUGAUGUUGUAUAAACUUGAUAUAAAAUGUUGAAUAAUAUAAUGUAUGAUAUAAAAUGUUGAAUAAUAUAAUGUAUGAUAUAAAAUGUUGAAUAAACUUGAACUUGUAUAUUCUCUUUACUCAC